rnacentral:lncRNA from 1 species
UCCUGGCCUAGCACUCUAAAUGACAAUUGGAAGAGUAACAUUAGGCAUAACAAGAUAUCCCUGAGAUUCCUUGGAAUUGUUUUGUUGAUUCUGUUUUUCCCCUGACUGCUCCUGGUUGUUGUUAUUGCUAUUUUUCCUCUUCCCCUUCUUAUUUGAAUUUUUAGUAUCACACUUCACAAACUGAGGGUCCUCACCAUCUUGUGCAUCUGGUAGCACUUCAGUAACAUUAUUAAAAUCAGUUGUCUCUGCUUUCUUCUUAUUCUCAUGACCAGCCGCAUCCAUACUAACAGUUAUAUCAUCUUGUUGCACUAUCGGAUUCACA